rnacentral:tRNA from 1 species
GGAGAUGUAGCUCAGUGGUAGAGUGUUUGCCUAGCACACAAGUGGCCCUGGGUUUGAUCCCCUAGCACCA